rnacentral:lncRNA from 1 species
ACUGCCCAAGCUGAGACUUCCACUGCCUGGACGGUUUUUUGGCUUGUCAGCAUCUGGCCCAUCCCACUCGGUGACUGCUUGAGGUGGUCACGUCUCACUCUGGGGCUGUCACAGGUGAGACCUGCCAUUUUAAGAUCUGUCAUAUGCAGUAGCUGAGGACAGUCAGACUGCCUCACUGCAGUCUGUGUGACAGAGAACGAUGGAAUAUACUCCCAGCCGUCCCCCUGUAAGUUUGUAGUCCUACCCACUGUCUGCUGCUCCCCUUGGCUUGUAGGCUAGGCCAAGCUAAGUCACAUGGUACGGAACUUCCUCAUACCCCUUUGCAAAUCGGAGUCAGAACCCCUCGGUGUGUGGGAUUUGAGGCUCUUUCCUUCGGACUCCCUGCCACAUGGCGGCUGUCUCAAAGAGCCUCUAGGCUUUGAAGACUCUCUCCCUUCAGGAAAGCAUCGAGCUGUCUGGCGUGAAGCUCUUCAGAGCUCUCCAGCCUCAAGUCUCCAGCAUGCCCUACCCCAUCUCCAAAAUCUCUCUUCCAAUAAAGCCUGAUCUGAAAGGAAA